AACGAACGCUGGCGGCAUGCCUAACACAUGCAAGUCGAACGAGACCUUCGGGUCUAGUGGCGCACGGGUGCGUAACGCGUGGGAACCUGCCCUUAGGUUCGGAAUACCUCCCCGAAAGGGGUGCUAAUACCGGAUCAUGUCUUCGGACCAAAGAUUUAUCGCCUUUGGAUGGGCCCGCGUUGGAUUAGCUAGUUGGUAGGGUAAAAGCCUACCAAGGCGACGAUCCAUAGCUGGUCUGAGAGGAUGAUCAGCCACACUGGGACUGAGACACGGCCCAGACUCCUACGGGAGGCAGCAGUGGGGAAUAUUGGACAAUGGGCGAAAGCCUGAUCCAGCAAUGCCGCGUGAGUGAUGAAGGCCUUAGGGUUGUAAAGCUCUUUUAACCGGGAUGAUAAUGACAGUACCGGGAGAAUAAGCGCCGGCUAACUCCGUG
rnacentral:rRNA from 1 species